GACGAACGCUGGCGGCGUGCUUAACACAUGCAAGUCGAACGGAGUGGCGAACGGGUGAGUAACACGUGUGUGACCUGCCCUGCACUUCGGGAUAAGCCUGGGUAACUGGGUCUAAUACCGGAUAGUGUGGGAUGGGCCCGCGGCCUAUCAGCUUGUCGGUGGGGUAAUGGCCGACCAAGGCGGCGACGGGUAGCCGGCCUGAGAGGGUGGACGGCCACAAUGGGACUGGGAGAGGGCCCAGACUCCUACGGGAGGCAGCAGUGGGGAAUAUUGUACAAUGGGCGGAAGCCUGAUGCAGCGACGCUGGGGGGGGGAAGACGGCCUACGGGUUGUAAACUCCUUUCACCAUCGACGCGGUAGAUGGAGAAGAAGCACCGGCUAACUACGUGCCAGCAGCCGCGGUAAUUC
rnacentral:rRNA from 1 species